UACGGGGGGAGCAAGCGUUGUUCGGAUUUACUGGGCGUAAAGGGCGCGUAGGCGGCCACCGCAAGUCGAUUGUGAAAUCUCCGGGCUUAACCCGGAAAGGUCAACCGAUACUGCGGGGCUAGAGUGCAGAAGGGGCAACUGGAAUUCUCGGUGUAGCGGUGAAAUGCGUAGAUAUCGAGAGGAACACCGGUGGCGAGGCGGCAUCCUGGACCGGUAUUGACGCUGAGGCGCGAAAGCCAGGGGAGCAAACGGG
rnacentral:rRNA from 1 species